UACUCCUCAUCACCUACAACAACAUGGGUUCAAAAACCCUAAGUACGAAGUGUACUUUCGCAAGUCUUACCCGACUAAGGAAAAAUGACUCUUAAGGAUAUGCUGGUUAAAUAGGAAUCAAGGGAAAGGCUUUUGCAAGAAAACUUAGAUACUUUUGCAGAAAUAGCUUACUAAAGUGAGUCCUUACUUUCAAUAUUUUAACGCCAGAUUAAAUAUUAAUAGACUCUAGUUGCAUCUAGUCUAAUUUCACCAUCUCAUCAAUACAACAUCAUUUUUAUUCAUAAUGUUUACAUCCUGACUUAGGUUGCAGGUCAGAGAUCAAGUCUUCACUAUCCGGGGAUAUAACGGCGAUCCGAAUCGAUUUACUCAGCUGAGGAUCUCUAACCACAUGACAUAUGUAGCACCUAACCCUUGCAUAUGUUAACCAUUCCCACAGAUCCUCCACAAUGUGAACCGGUUCGCGCUACCCGAGAGCACAGUACUCCUCCGUCCAGCCUCUAGCCAGGAGGGUACACGCUACUCCCACCAUCUCCCACGCCUAGUGCGCGGUUGUCUUUUCACGUAUGGAAUAGCCGGGUUCAAGCUUACCCUAUCCCAUAUACAGGGCAUGUGGCCAGUUAAGAUAGUCCUUGAUUAUACAAGCCUACAUACACAUCCAAUCCUUAAUUAACCUGGGUGUAGCAUCACCUGUUCCUAGCCCAAGUCUCGAUUUAAGUACUUCCAUCCUUAGGAUUAUUUUGUAUUCCUUAGGAUGAGAAGAGCAUUAUAGGGAACUUUACAGUAAGAUCUCACCAUGCUCCUAAUGAAAAUAUUCUUGCAGGUAGAAGCCAUCCUUCCUCAGGAUAACUCCUGAGCUAGGCAUUAUUGCAAGGACAACCUCUAUCCGCAAGAUCUAAGCAGGGCUAAGCAAUUUUGUAAAUCAUAUUUGAUACUUCACCAGAAGUAUCUAUAAAAGGAAUGGAUUUCAAGGUACCCAAUGCAGCAAAGGGUUUCCAAGCAACUCCUAUAAACCUAAUGCACAUUUCACUAGACUUAAAGUGUGUAAAAACCAUUUAAAGACACAAGGAAGGGGUUGCAUGCACCGGGGCUUGCCUUAUUGCAGUGAAGAGGUUCCAUAUCCCUCUAUCCAAUACCCAGUUAGAUGGCUCCAUCCUCUUGAUGAGCAGACACUGGAGUGGACUUCUCUUCAGAAUCUCCUUCUUGGCACUCUACAUGAAAUGUAUGUCCAUGAAUUCUUAUACGCACGCUAUGAAAGUGCAACUUGUAAAGAAGACAAUAUUAAACACUUCUAACUACACCUUACCACAUGGUGCACAAAAAGAUUAACAAAAUAAUAGGGGAUCUAGUAGCACCAAGAAUCCAAAGUCUACACCUUCAAGCCAUGACCACCAAGGGACUAGAACACACUAGAUUUCAUCCAAAUAUCAAGAUCUCACUUGAUAAACUUGGCUCUACUUCCCAAGCUCUAAUCCCUUCUUGGAUUAGGGAUUUAUCUUAACGAUUAUGGACCAUGCAAAGCUUUCUGGGUGAAUCGCUUACAAACAACCUCAAACUUUUACCACAAGCUCAAAUGACCAAAACAAGGUUACUCAAAAAUUUCCAUAAGUUUUGGUACUGUACUUUUAUUUUUAAUAUCCAAACAGUCCUAGCAAGAGCACUUUUAAAUCCCUUAAUAUUUGGUAAUCGACCUAAAAAUCCGAAAACCAACUUUACUAAAGAGAUUUUGAUUUUAUACAUCCAAUAAAAUUUGUCCCAUGAUUUUUGGAAAUUUCUCAAUUUUUGGCAUCAUUUCCAAUUUGUCGGGUAAAUGAAUAAAGGGAAUAAUUAAUUCUGGGUUGAAAUCAGCCCACGUGGCCCAACUCCGGGUAGAUCCGGCCCACGACAGGGAGCCCGCGCCCGCAUCUGGGCUUUUGCACAAAGGACCCUGCGCUCUGACUAAAUUGACAUGACUCCGAGCCACUGUUUGGCUGAGUCACCGACAGUUUCACGCACACCCCUCGGAUUCAGCUCAUUCACAACUUCAGGGCCCCAACACCGCCGCACAGUUCUCCAGUGAACCGGCGACUAUGGCCGCGGCGGCGCAGGUCUUUGGCACCCACAAAUCACCUCUGACAUGCGUUGAUAGCCAACCCGCAUUAACCUCAAUCCUCCAACACCCACGACGAGCAGUAGUCCACCCCGGCCACAAUACCCAUGGAGUUCUUGACUCGGCGUGCCCGGUCCCGAUGCACCUAUAUGGUAGAGCUCAAACCAAAGGCGUGGAGAGUAUCACUGACUUACAUAGAUCACGGUGCUCGCGCGAGGUUGAUCGGGGAAAGCGUGAGUUGUAUGGUCUGCGGUGGAGCUACCCAUAGCACCAGAUCACGGCGACAUGCCCCUGUUCCGGCCAAAGCACGACAUUAGCGUUAGGGAAAACAGCUCGGUGAGCUUCACUGAUCUAUAGGGGAUAUGGGACAUGCACAAUAUGGACCAAUACCUGCUUGAGUUGGCCUAGCCACGACAAGGUGAUCACUCGGGUGAACGUGGUCACCAGACUGGGUGUUGGCGCGCGUAGUUCUGGACAGGGCUACCCUGGGGCUGGGGAGAGGGUUUAUACCAGCAGGAACACAAGGAUUACCACUCCCACAAG
rnacentral:lncRNA from 1 species